UGGGCUGUGGCUCAGCGGUAGAGCGCUCACCUCGAACAUGCAAGACCCUGGGUUCGAUCCUCAGCACCACAU
rnacentral:tRNA from 1 species